rnacentral:lncRNA from 1 species
GUUUGGAAAAUCUGUAUUGAACCGUAGGCUUGUAUGAAGUAUAAGAGGAAAUCUGAAGCUAAAUUUGUGAUUUUUAAAAAAUGCUUUAUUUUCAUAAGAAUUCAAAGCCUAAGGAUCUCCAUCAUUCUAUGAGAUAAGUGUGGUAAAAUCAUUUUAGUCAUCAGGUUAUUGUACAUGUCAAUUCAAAAGAGGCAAGAGAAACCCUUUAAGUGAAAACAGUUUAUAACGUGGGCUACCCACAUGUAAAUUCAUGAGCAAGACAAAGUGUGACUGAAUAGUAUAUUAUAACAGGUCACUUGUUUGUAACUUUGUAUUUUCCCAGUACUGUUCUUCAAAAUUAGGACAGCUACUUUAAGGUUCACCCUUGGCUGAUAACAGAGAGAAAAAAAUUGCAAUCUAUAGUAGAAGUCAGUUUGUUUUCAAUAAGUAAGUUUGAAGCAAUGGCUUGUGUUAAUCCUAAUAAGCCAGUGAUUAGGCAAACAUGCUGUUAAAUGCAAAGGAAUGCAAGGAAUUUCAAGUGCUUUUCCAAUAGCUGAAGACUAAGCUACCCAUCCCCCUUUCCUUUUUAUAAUAUACAUUAUAUUGAUGGGGGAGGGAAUAGUUAGGUAGACUUGGCUUAUCCAAAAGGUCAAAGGCUAGACACAGAGCAUUCCUAAGAGAAAAGGACCUGAAUCAUGGGUUUAGGGGAGGUGGAGAGGACUGCAUCAAUGUUUGUGAAAAUGUUGGUAGCCUGUGUUAGAAAAAAUCCACAUCUUCAGAAAGCUCUGACAAUAAACCUUUUAUAGGGAGAACUUUUCCUUUCAUCGUCAGUCUUGGCUCCUGUUCAAAUCCAUAGUGAAAUAUUUCAGUCUGCACUUGGUUAAGAGAGUACUUGAAUUUUUAGGCCUAAGAGAAAGUGCUUUAAGUGGGGGUUGGGAAAGAGACAGCUUCUGGGAUUCUAAAAGGGACUUUCAAAAUAAUUAAUAUUGAUGAUUUAAUGAAGACCAACAGAAAAACACUGUUGAAGCAACUGUUUUAAAACCCUUAUGAGAUGCAUAAAGGUUAAUGUAAAUGUGCUAGAAAAAUCUAUGGUCAAAAUGCUGAUUUUGACAUGUUCUGCCUGAAAUAUUACAACUUGUGCCUACUGAAUAGUCAGUUUUUCUUGCCCGAGGCAUUCUAAUUUUAAGGUAUUUGGGAUUUAAAC